rnacentral:tRNA from 1 species
GGCGAUGUAGCUCCAACUGGCAGAGCGUCCGUCUCGUAAGCGGAAACGUGUGGGUUCGAAUCCCUCCAUCGCCU